UACCAGCACCCCGAGUGGUCGGGACGUUUAUUGGGCCUAAAGCAUCCGUAGCCGGUCCUGCAAGUCUUCCGUUAAAUCCAGCUGCUCAACAGAUGGGCUGCGGGGGGAUACUACAGGGCUAGGAGGCGGGAGAGGCAAGCGGUACUUUAUGGGUAGGGGUAAAAUCCGUUGAUCCAUAGAAGACCACCAGUGGCGAAGGCGGCUUGCCAGAACGCGCUCGACGGUGAGGGAUGAAAGCUGGGGGAGCAAACCGG
rnacentral:rRNA from 1 species